UACACAUGCAGUCGACGGUAGCACAGAGGAGCUUGCUCCUUGGGUGACGAGUGGCGGACGGGUGAGUAAUGUCUGGGAAACUGCCCGAUGGAGGGGGAUAACUACUGGAAACGGUAGCUAAUACCGCAUAACGUCGCAAGACCAAAGAGGGGGACCUUCGGGCCUCUUGCCAUCGGAUGUGCCCAGAUGGGAUUAGCUAGUAGGUGGGGUAACGGCUCACCUAGGCGACGAUCCCUAGCUGGUCUGAGAGGAUGACCAGCCACACUGGAACUGAGACACGGUCCAGACUCCUACGGGAGGCAGCAGUGGGGAAUAUUGCACAAUGGGCGCAAGCCUGAUGCAGCCAUGCCGCGUGUAUGAAGAAGGCCUUCGGGUUGUAAAGUACUUUCAGCGAGGAGGAAGGCGUUGUGGUUAAUAACCGCAACGAUUGACGUUACUCGCAGAAGAAG
rnacentral:rRNA from 1 species